rnacentral:tRNA from 1 species
GCCUCAUUAAUUCAAAUGGCAGAAUCCUUACCAUCCAUUGGGAGAUGCGAGUUCGAAUCCCGCAUGAGGCC